rnacentral:lncRNA from 1 species
AGACUAUAUGAACACUGGUUUGUUGCAUUUGAAUAUCACCAUUGCUGCAACAUGUAGAGUUCAACGAAACUCAAUUGAAAAACAUAUCAACCAAGAAUCAUAGACGAUAGAGAGUGGGACAACAUCAACCAAGAAUUUGGACAAAAGUUUAAUUUGGAAGAAGAAUUAGAGGAAAUUUUCAUAGAAUAAAAAAGGGAGGUUGGUGGUAGAAGAUGAAAGAGAACGACAGAGAAGAGAGAGAAAUUGAAUUAAUUAAUUAAAUUAAAUAAAUGUGAGUGGGUCCGGUAGAGCAUGCCAGAUCAUUCGUGAUUGAUUCGUGAAGG